AAGCCGACAAGCAGAAAGUUUUAGACUCUGGCCCGUGGUCUUUCUCCGGUAAUCUCCUCGUCCUUAAACAAUGCAACCCAGAUGUUCCUGAAAUGUGUUAUGAGUUCACUCACUGCCCUUUUUGGGUGCACCUGUAUGGCCUACCAUUUGGAAGAGUGACAAUAGAUAUUGUCAAAGACAUAGCAGCCAAGAUUGGUGAAGUUAUUGAUGUUAAACUCGAAUCCAAAGGAAAUAGCACCUAUAAGAUUGGAAAAGCCAGGAUUAAUCUUAACCUUGAUUCCCCCCUAAAAACAGGUGUAGUCAUUAAUCUGGGAAGCAAAAAGUUGUGGAUAGAAUUCAAGUAUGAGCGGCUCCCACACUAUUGCUACUCUUGUGGAAGAAUCGGACAUUAUGCCUCGGCAUGCAAAGAAAUACCGUAUGAAACCACAAGGUUGGAGGAGGACGUACCAGGUAACUUUGGGAAUUGGCUAAGGGCGGAAGUUAGGGAACUUAGCCCUUACGGUAAAGUUUUUUAUGGGAAACAAGCUGCACUCAUUGAUGAUCCAGAUAUUGUACCAGAAACACCUCUUGCCGCAACAACCAAUGCUAAUCAGCAAGUACAAAACGCAGAAGACCAGCCUAUCCUGCCCUUACAAAGUCAGUAUUGUAUGAGGGAGGCUACGAAACAAAAGACCGAUUCUCUAGCCAUAACUAUAAGGGAAGAAGGGGAACACAGAAGAGAAAUAACGGCUGUCUUGAUGAGGAGUCUAUGAUGAUUAUCUCUAAUGAACAAUUCAAAGAGCAAGAGAAAGAGCAGCAGCACCAAACAGCAAUCAACCGACCCCAAAACAGGGGUAAAACCAAAAACACCAAGCUUCCUACAUCAAAAAAAGCAAAGAGAUUUUCUCCUUAUGGAGCACAACCCUCAAAGACUCCAGCAUCUGACAAGUUACAACUAGUGGACAUUCCUAUUACUGAGGAGGAGCACUCCACACACUGGGCUUUGGUAGCUAGCCCUAAUAAGCCACCGGGGAAUCCAUGAAAUUAUUUAGUUGGAAUUGUCAGGGUUUGGGCUCACCCCUGACAAUUCGAGCUCUAAGAGUCCUCGUGACUCAGGAAAAGCCCAACAUUAUCUUUCUUAUGGAGACCAAGAAUCAUGAGCAGAUGGUGCAGUGUUGCAGAAGAAGACUAAAAUACCAAAACAGUUUUUUGGUGAAUCCAGAAGGAAUAUCAGGAGGUAUGGCUAUUUUAUGGGAUGACAUGAUUACCAUAACAGUAAAUUCAUUUUCAGCAUCCUAUAUAAAACACAGAGUGUCGACUCCAAGACAACAAGCAUCUUAUGAGACUCACUUUCCUACAUGCCCCGACAGAUUUUACAGAUAGAAUUCUCUUAUGGGGAGGAAUUACAACGAGUAAGUUUCUUAAAUCACCUACCCUUGGUUAUGUAUAGGUGAUUUUUAAUGAGUUGAUAUACCAUGGGAAAUGAUGGGGAAAGAAGAUGCCAGAAAAAUAUUCGCCCUUACAGCAUUCCGAGAAUUUUUACAAGCGUGUUCCUUAAUGGACCUAGAGAGCAAAGGGUGUGCAUUCGCAUGGACAAAUAGAAGAGAUGGUACAAAAAAUGUCAAAGAAAGGCUGGAUAGAGCUUUAUGUACCAUGGAGUGGAGAAUAACAUAUCCAGCUGUAGAAGUAGUCGCCCUACCAGCCAUCGGAUCAAAUCAUAGUCCACUCAUCCUGUCACUUUUUCCUACAACAAGUCGAAAACGUCGGGAUUUUAGGUAUGAAGCUUACUGGAUAGAAGAUGCAGAAUGUCGGAGCAUUGUAAAGCGAGCUUGGGAAGCGGCACAAAAUAAAAAUAUGGCUGAAAAAUUAUAUUCAGUAGCUGUCCAACUUAC
rnacentral:lncRNA from 1 species